rnacentral:rRNA from 1 species
UACGUAGGGCGCAAGCGUUAUCCGGAAUUAUUGGGCGUAAAGAGCUCGUAGGCGGUUUGUCGCGUCUGCCGUGAAAGUCCGGGGCUCAACUCCGGAUCUGCGGUGGGUACGGGCAGACUAGAGUGAUGUAGGGGAGACUGGAAUUCCUGGUGUAGCGGUGAAAUGCGCAGAUAUCAGGAGGAACACCGAUGGCGAAGGCGGGUCUCUGGGCCGAUACUGACGCUGAGGAGCGAAAACGUGGGGAGCGAACAGG